rnacentral:rRNA from 1 species
GAUGAACGCUAGCGGCAGGCUUAAUACAUGCAAGUCGUGGGGCAGCAGGACUGUAGCAAUACAGUUGCUGGCGACCGGCAAACGGGUGCGGUACACGUACGCAACUUACCCUGAACUGGGGUAUAGCCCGGGGAAACCCGGAUUAAUACCCCGUAAUAUAAUGGAGUGGCAUCACUUUAUUAUUAAAGCUCCGGCGGUUCGUGAUGGGCGUGCGGCUGAUUAGGUAGUUGGUUGAGGUAACGGCUCACCAAGCCUACGAUCAGUAACUGGUGUGAGAGCAAGACAAGUCACACGGGAACUGAGGCACGGACCCGAAUCCGACGCGAGGGAGCAGUAAGGAAUAUUGGGCGAUGGAGGCAACUCUGACCCAGCCAUGCCGCGUGGAGGAUGAAGGGCAUCUGGGUUGUAAACUUCUUUUAUAGGGGACGAAAACGGUGUAUUCUUACGCAGUUGACGUUACCCUAGGAAUAAGCACCGGCUAACUCCGUG